rnacentral:rRNA from 1 species
UGGGGAAUAUUGGACAAUGGGCGCAAGCCUGAUCCAGCCAUGCCGCGUGAGUGAUGAAGGCCCUAGGGUUGUAAAGCUCUUUCACCGGUGAAGAUAAUGACGGUAACCGGAGAAGAAGCCCCGGCUAACUUCGUGCCAGCAGCCGCGGUAAUACGAAGGGGGCUAGCGUUGUUCGGAUUUACUGGGCGUAAAGCGCACGUAGGCGGACUUUUAAGUCAGGGGUGAAAUCCCGGGGCUCAACCCCGGAACUGCCUUUGAUACUGGGAGUCUUGAGUAUGGUAGAGGUGAGUGGAAUUCCGAGUGUAGAGGUGAAAAUCGUAGAUAUUCGGAGGAACACAAAUGGCGAAGGCGGCUCACUGGACCAUUACUGACGCUGAGGUGCGAAAGCGUGGGGAGCAAACAGG